rnacentral:rRNA from 1 species
ACACUCCUGCGGGAGGCAGCAGUGGGGAAUAUUGGACAAUGGGCGCAAGCCUGAUCCAGCCAUGCCGCGUGAGUGAUGAAGGCCCUAGGGUUGUAAAGCUCUUUUGUGCGGGAAGAUAAUGACGGUACCGCAAGAAUAAGCCCCGGCUAACUUCGUGCCAGCAGCCGCGGUAAUACGAAGGGGGCUAGCGUUGCUCGGAAUCACUGGGCGUAAAGGGUGCGUAGGCGGGUCUUUAAGUCAGGGGUGAAAUCCUGGAGCUCAACUCCAGAACUGCCUUUGAUACUGAAGAUCUUGAGUUCGGGAGAGGUGAGUGGAACUGCGAGUGUAGAGGUGAAAUUCGUAGAUAUUCGCAAGAACACCAGUGGCGAAGGCGGCUCACUGGCCCGAUACUGACGCUGAGGCACGAAAGCGUGGGGAGCAAACAGGAUUAGAAACCCCAGUAGUCCCA